rnacentral:rRNA from 1 species
CAUGUGGCGGCGUGCCUAACACAUGCAAGUCGAGCGAGAAAGGGUAGCAAUACCUGAGUAAAGCGGCGCACGGGCGUGUAACACGUGACUAACCUACCCUCGAGUGGGGAAUAACUUCGGGAAACCGAGGCUAAUACCGCAUAAUACCCACGGGUCAAAGGAGAAAUCCGCUUGAGGAGGGGGUCGCGGCCGAUUAGUUAGUUGGCGGGGUAAUGGCCCACCAAGACGAUGAUCGGUAUCCGGCCUGAGAGGGCGCACGGACACACUGGAACUGAAACACGGUCCAGACUCCUACGGGAGGCAGCAGUGGGGAAUUUUGCGCAAUGGGGGAAACCCUGACGCAGCAACGCCGCGUGGAGGAUGAAGUCCUUCGGGACGUAAACUCCUUUCGAUCGGGACGAUUAUGACGGUACCGGAAGAAGAAGCCCCGGCUAACUUCGUGCCAGCAGCC